CACAAUCCGUUUCAAUCCUUGUCAUCUUUGGCAAUAUGCUUGUAUUAAGACACUAUUACAGUCAUUUGUGAAGUAUACUACGCUAUUGUGAUGUUUUUGGCGUUUUUGUCUGUAUGGAAAGUUAACUGAUACGAUUGUUAGAUCAUGCUGUGUGAUCUGACAAGCUGUUUGUCUUGCAUUCAAAUAUCCACUCUUAAACAGUAGGCUAGCUUAUCUUGUGCAACAUCUUUAGGAGUAAAAAAAAGUUGCCUUAAGGUUUAUCCAGUCUGAAGUGUAAAUUACCAGCAUAAUUAUUUUAAACAUAGUUUAACACCUGCUGCUGUUUAGCUUAGCAGCUAGCUAUUGCUCUAUAGCCUGCUAUUGCCCUGUAAUGCCCCACAUGUUACUCAAAAUAUGUAUCUUAUUUUUUGUAAUGGGCGUCACUAUUGGCCAGUCCUGAAUAUCACCUUUGAAAAGCCAUGUUUGCCGAUAUUGUGAGAAAAGGUUCACCUCUGUUUUUCAACUUGACAGAUGGUUGCCCCCUGUGCGAGUGGAAGAUGUGACUUUGAAGACAGUCAUUGUAAAAGGUGCAAAAGGCUUGUCUAAGAUAAGCUGGCAGUCUACACCGCAUGGCCUGCGUUGCUGACAUUGAGUGAAGUUAAUGCAGAGUUCCUGUGCCUGACAUAUACUUGAGGAAGCAUCUUGGAGGUUGUCAAGGAGAAUGGAGGCAUUGCCAGAAGGAAGGACUAGAGUGGCGAAGUGAUCCAAAGGCAGACUGCACAUCUACGUAUAUGGUUUGCAAGGAACAUCCCGUGCCAGAGACUGUGAUACAAGGCAUGGAGCUGUACAGUGAACUCGGAGCAUCUCUUGUGCAUGUGUGAUGCUCUUUGGACUCGGUUACCGGUAUAUACCCUCAAUCUCAACUCUGUGGAUUUGGAUUUACAAUGGAUUGGAAAAUAUGCCCAAAAGGUUCAAUCACUAUAAACUACAGUAAAUAUGUUGGACACUGGCAAUCUCAGGUUCUAAGCCAUUGUAUAAAAGGACAAUCCAUCGCAUUUCUAUGCAUACUUUUCUGUGCUGUUCUCUGAUCUGAGUUGAUGAUUUUUUUUGUCCUUAUCUUAGCUCAGCAUGGCAUUGAGUAUCAUUGAGGGGUUUUUUUCUAAGCUUUUUCUAUGCAGAUUAAAAGAUGAGCACUAUAAUGAAAGGCGUAAUAACGCCUCAGUAGCACUUCAUGGACACAUUGAUAUCAUAAUUAAAAACAUUUCUCUCUCCCUCUCCUCCCCCACUUUGGGAAAGAAUCAAAGAGUCAAAAGUGCUCCUGUGGGCAGUUAAUUCUAAAAUGUCCAUUCACAAAUAACAUCUUUUUCAUGAAUGUCUAAGUAAAUAAGUGAGUAAAUAGACACAUACUGUUCUGUUGAGUAUGUUUUUCGGCCAGAGAUAUCUGACUGCAUUCAAAAUGGUGGAUUAACAUGCAGAGGCCACAUAAAUUAAUGUGGUACAGUACACUGAAUUUCAGGUUUUCUGUUUAAUUUCUGUUUAAUCAUACGAUUAUAUUGUCUAGAUUUUGGUGUUUUAUUAUCGUUUGACUGCAUGUUUGUCCAGCUG